rnacentral:misc_RNA from 1 species
GGACUACAGGGGUAUCUAAUCCUGUUUGCUACCAACGCUUUCGUGUCUCAGCGUCAGCUAUGGUCCAGAAAGCCGUCUACACCACAGGUGUUCCUCCUGAUAUCUACGCAUUUCACCGCUACACCAGGAAUUCCGCUUUCCUCUCCCACGCUCGAGCACUCCAGUUUCCGGCGCACCCUCCCAGUUAAGCCAGGAGAUUUCACACCGAACUUAGAGCACCGCCUACACACUCUUUACGCCCAGUAAUUCCGAACAACGCUCGCUGCCUACGUAUUACCGCGGCUGCUGGCACC